GGAUGUGAAGGCAAUCUGGCUGUGACAUCUGUCACCCCAUUUAUUGUCAGGGUUGAUCUGAUUGAUUUAGCUGGCUGGACAGUGUCCCCUUCUUCCUGCAGCACUCCCAAAGCUUCGACCAUCCCCUAAUAGAGAUAGUCAAGGGUUUAUAAGUAACUGUGCUCCCCUGCUAGAACCUCCAAAAAGCUCAAUAAACAGAUGCCAACAAAUGCCCACUGGAAGCAGUUGUCAGAUCCUUUUCAAACUUUAAGCACUUCCCAAAGUCCUUUACAUGUAGCUACUGUG
rfam:Erinaceus europaeus unplaced genomic scaffold scaffold00060, whole genome shotgun sequence